rnacentral:rRNA from 1 species
UACGUAGGGUGCAAGCGUUACUCGGAAUUACUGGGCGUAAAGCGUGCGCAGGCGGUCUUGCAAGACAGGUGUGAAAUCCCCGGGCUUAACCUGGGAACUGCACUUGUGACUGCAAGGCUGGAGUACGGCAGAGGGGGAUGGAAUUCCGCGUGUAGCAGUGAAAUGCGUAGAUAUGCGGAGGAACACCGAUGGCGAAGGCAAUCCCCUGGGCCUGUACUGACGCUCAUGCACGAAAGCGUGGGGAGCAAACAGG